AGCGAGGCUAGAGUCACGCCUGGAUACUACCUGUUGUCCUGGUGUGCUAGAGCACUCGUAGAGGAAAGUGUCUUUGCUUAUUCAUUGGCUGUAGCCUGUUGUGGCCCAGUCAAUCACCAACUCAGACACAUGU
rnacentral:snoRNA from 1 species